UGGCCCCCACUCACCAACUUGAUGGUCGUCGACAUGGCUGGGACAAACUGUUGCAAGCCUCCUUGCAGCGAGCAGUACGCGCGCGUCGCGACACGGCGGCCGAUUCAGCAGACCCACCACCGGAAUUGUGACGCCCAACUCUUUUUCGACGAUGGGAAUAUAUAUGGACUAUAGUCUGCUAGUCAUCACCGUCUUGACUACUGAGCUUUGCCGCCGUGCAACCUGCAAGUGUGUGUGUGCAUGAUCUAUCACUGAGCUUAGACUCUUGUGGUAAUUUCUCCAUCGGUUGGAUGCUAAAAUUAUCUUCUCCUGCGAUGUUGUUUGCUCUGGACCAAUCCUUUGCUAUCCUUCUUCUAACCCCACGUGAAACAGGGAAUCUAGCACAGUAUAUAUGCAGCGCCCAUUUGAAUGGGAGAAGAUAUGAGGUUUGUUUGGUUUGAGCAAUGAUGUGAUGUUCAAUUGUUUUUUACAUUAAAUUUAUAUGGAAUUUUUUUUUUACAUUAAAUUUAUAUGGCGCUCGAGCACUUCUAGUGCUCGAAGCUCUUGAUUUCGUGUAUGUUGGAUCUUCCGUGAGGACGAAGGCGAUGAUACGGUGAAGCGGGGUUGCGAUCGGAUGCCUCAUUCUUGUCUGCCUCGGCUUUUCUCGCUGAGCCACCACACGCCCCAGUGACCCUGCCGUCCUAGCACCGCCAUCACCUAAGCAUCGAGCCGCCGCAGACGACGCACCAUGAGCCCCAAUGGCCCUACUGUCCAUCGCCGCCAUCGCUCACGCGCCGAGCAUCCGAGCCGCGAUGUCGUAAUGUCCCCGUGCAAGCCGAAGCAUCUCCCUUCUCAAUUGUCCGCUGCCGGCAUGGUCACGUUGCAGCUAGGGCCGAGCAACCACCACCGCAACCUUGUGCAAUUGAUUCAUUCCUUGAUUAGAGGUUGUAGUUUACAUAUCACUAUAGCAUAUUUACUAUUUUUCUGUGUGGGUGUAAGUUUUAUGUUCAGUUCGUGUAAAUUGAUUGUUUGCAAAUGAGAAUGACUUUUUGGAUUACUGAACAGUUCUCUAGUCUUUUUUUUUACUCUUUUUUUGGUUUGUCUGUAUAGUUUAUUGGUCUCCCUUUCAAGUGUUCCAAUUUAGCUUUUAUAGAAAUAAUCUAAGUAUUUUUUUUUAUUUUAUAUGUUCCAUCUGUUUGCAUUAAUCUUGAUCUGGAUUCUGUGGUUAUGAAAAUCUAAUGUUUCAUGGCCUUGAAACACUUGAUUACGUCCUCAGACCAAUUUCGAGUGUUUUUAGCCGCUUGACACUCGGGUGUCAGGAGCUUCUAAAACACUGGACUACAAAGUAGACAAGCUCUUUUUUAUCACAUUUUUAUCCGUUUAUGGAAUAUGAUAGAUUGAUUUCUGUCAUAUUAUCACUCACAAACUAAUAAGCACAAGGCACGUAAGCCAUUGUAACAUAAUUUAUAGAUAAACUCACAAUAGACCAUCUUACACAUUAAGGUAGAGUGGUGACUCAAAUCAAACAUAUCGGAUAAAUAUAUCUACUCUCAAAUGGAGACGUCUUAGUACAUGGAACCAAAUGAGGUACCAAUUUGAGAGACAAGUAAUCUGUCAUAUCAACAUCAUAAAUAAAUAAUAAUAUAUUCUCUCUGUCUCUAAAUAAAUUAAUUUCUAAAAUUAUUUUAAAUCAAACUUUUUAUGUUUGACCAAAUUUAUGGAAAAAGUCUAAAUAUUUAUGACACAAAAUAAACAUUUCAUCAGUGACACUAGUUUCAUAUCUUAAAUCUUGACGCUCUGUAACACCCUAAAAAUUGUUUUCUGGGAAAUAGAGCUAAAAUGAUUUAAUUAUGAAUUUUUGUGCUCAUGAAACAUAGGAAAAUAAUAUUUUUCAUUAAACUAAAAUUCAUCAUAGGACGUAGAAAACAUGCUUGAGCAUGCAUGCCUUUGCAUUCUAUUUAUUGUGAUGAGUGUAUUUGAACUCAAAAUUUUAAAAUAAUUCAAAAUGUUUUGAAAUGAUGUGAAAAUAGCUUUGGAAUAAUAAGAAAACAAAAGAAAAGAAAAGGAAAAAAAAACCCCGACCGAACUCCCCCAUUCUUCUCCCUCGCCCGGCCCAAUUCCUCCGCCCCAGCCCAACGCGCUGCGCGGCCCAGCAGUCAGGCUACCAGGCGCGAUUUUCCUUCCCCUCUUCUUGACCCGCUGACAGUCGGGUCCCACCCUUCUUUCUAUGACAAGUGGGGCCUGCGGGACAGCGCUCGUCCCCCACCUCUGUUCGUAGUCGACCCGGACUCACGAACCGGCCGACUCAAUCCCGGGAACAGCGGGAUUCUCUUGCCUUUUGUGCAAAUCAAACCCCUAUAAAGCCCUAGGUAAACCCCGCGGCUCCCUCUUUGCAUCCAAGUUGUGAAACCGAGCCCUAGUCGCCGUAUUCUCUGGAGUUCGGAUCUCGGUGUGGCCGAUCUUGUUCCUCUCCGCGGCAAGCCCUCUCCGUUCUCUCUCGGACCCAACCAAGCGCUUAGACGAGAUCGUGGUGAGCUCCUCUUCAUCCCGGUGUUUUUCUUUCUUGAAACGGUGCUCGGAAACGAGAAGCCAGCGGACGCCGGCGAGCUUCCGGGCGGUGGCCAUGGCGCCACCGAACCGGUGCCCAACUCCGGCCGGAUGUGGGUGACUAGGAAGGCGCCCAGGCUACCAACCGUUCAACCGAAGAUCAACGGCCAGGAUUAAAACAUACCCUUUCGUUGCAAUUCUUCGUAAAGAGUCCCUGAUAGUUUUCCAUAUUUGCCCCGCGGUCCUUGGCGCCCUGAGCAAGAUUCCGUUUUCGAAGUGGGAAAGCGUAUUUUCUGUCGGCCGAGUUCAAAUACGUUUUGCAGAAAUUACAGAAUUGCCACUGAUUUUAUAAUGCUCAUAAAAUAUUCAUUUUAACUCCGUUUUUGUCCAUUCAAAUUUCGUUAGAUUCGUAUUUACGAGCUCUACAUGUUAGAAGUAUUAUUUUACUGUUUUGAAACUUUUUAAUUUCCUGGUACUAUUUAAUUAAUUAUUUCUCUAUAGGAAAUCGUAGAAAACUCAUAACUUCUCCGUUUUAAUUUCGAUUUUCGUGAACUUUACGUUUAUGUGAUCGUAGCGCUGCGUAGAAUAUUUUGAUAAACUUUUAUAUUUGUUUUACUACUGUUUGGUGUAUUGUUCUAAUUGUAGCUUGUUUGCUUCGUGUAUGUUUGUCUCCGAUUGUUUGCGUGCUGUUGAUUGAUGUUUGAGAAUAGACGGUGAGCCGUGCGUUGUUGAUCAAGACCAAGCUUUUAAAGACCAGCAGGCUCAGGAGAGCUUUGAUCAAGGCAAGUAUAACUUGGGACUAUCCUUGUUACCUACACACUUUUAAUACAUAUAUCAUAUGCAUGUGUCCACCUUGAUGACCUUAGCAAAAUCAUAGAUGAUUGUUAUCCUGAAUUCCUUGUUACCUAUUUGGAUAUGCAUUUGGGUAGUUCUUGCUAGUGCUUGAUUAAUAAUCCAUGAUCUUGUAACAUGAAUAUUUGGAUAUACAAUAAACAAUAAAAUAAGCUUUCUAGCAACUUGAACAUAAAGGGUGGAAAGAACUCUAGCUUUUGCUAGAUUGAUCUUGACCCUCCAUAAGGACUUAUCCCUUGGCAAAAGCUGGGACAAUUCGUACAACCAUGAGGGCUAUAUGGCUCUGGUUUUAGCUCAGUAUGAGGACCUUUUUCUAGCUUGUUAGCGGUUACCUUAAAUGGCGUAAGAAUGGCUAGACACGUUGGGUAUAGUGUGGCCUCUGUCCAUGUGUAUAGGUUGCGAGUUAUGUGCCAUGGAAGGGGGGCUCUAUAUCUGCCUGCCGAGUGAAUCUAAUGGCCCUAACUUGUUAGACGAAACCUUUGAAAGGCUUCAUAGUGAUCCCUGCCGACCUCCCUUGGAAGGGGGUUAAGAGACUCAUGACCUCGGGCGAAAGGGUAAAUCACGACUCAUGGGUAAAGAUGUACAACCUCUGCAGAGUGUUAAAUCUGGUAUACUAGCCGUGCCCACGGAUACGGGCGGUCCGGAAAACUGACGGAAUAGAUGGACACUGAUGAACAUGAUUAAUGAUGAUAAAAGAUGGUUUAUUAUGUUGUUUAUAUGUGUUAUUCUUAAUUCUUGUAUACAAUUGAUCAUGUGGUUAUGGGAUUUAAUAUGCUACCUUGAUAUUUGCUAUCCAAUAAUUAAAUAUGCUAUCUACAUAUAAAAGCUAAAUGCAGUCAAACCAGUGUCAGCUAAUUGAGCCUCAUGAACUCCUGGUUAUACUUGUUGAGUACGAUAUGUGCUCACUCUUGCAAUUUCCCCCACACCUCAGGAGAAAUUUUGGGCUUUGUGAUCAACCAGUCAGUUUGAUCCUGUGGAGAGGAGUUAAUACCCGAAGUUUGGAGUUGUCUAUCCGCUGUUUGAUACUGAAGGUUAUUCCUUUUAUAUUAAGUACGUUAUAUAUUUAUGCAUUGUCUUUUGAUAUUACCCCUUAUUUGUAGCUAUAUGUGAGAUUUGACUUCUAAAACUCACAUAUGGUGCAUAUCUGGUUUUGUCCUUAAAAUCGGGUAUUACAAAGUGGUAUCAAAGCAAUGCUGACUGUAGGACGCAAGCCUAGUUAGAAAUUGGUCAUCUUAAGGUUUUGGAAUUGUCAUAAAAUCCUUGCUCUAUAAACCUUGAUAUUUUCAUCCAUACUAUAUCCCUAUCCUUGCUAUUUCUCUACCUUGUUGCUUAUUUUAAGAGUACUUGCUCUCACCUUCACUCCUUGAUUUGGUAUGCUAUUAGAACCUUUUCUUACCACCUUCUUGUGUCCUUGAAAUAUAAGUUUUAGGAUCUUUGCCCUUAAUAGGAAGAGAACGAUAGUACCGCAAGUUGAGUUAAUGCUUGAAGUGUGAACCUUUGAUGCUUGGUUUGGUUUGUUAUUAUGCUUAUGAUUGAUUUGGAUCUUUGUAAUGAGUGCAAUGAUCUUGUGGGUUUUCUCCACGAUAUCAUUUAGUUUAUAGGCCUAAGGCAUAAGGAGUAGUGAAAUAAGUAGUUGGGUUUGGUUAUAUCCUGUUUCUAUCCUUUGCUGUUUUCUGAAACAGACUGCAAUAAUUCUGGUGUAUCUCAAGUUCUGAUCAUGCAACGUCUAUCAAAUUUUUCUGGGAACAACUAGACUUCAAGAUAUUUCUCUGACCGCAAGGAUCACCCUCAUAUCUAUUAUGGUUUGGAAGUUACAAAAAUCACAAGAUGAUACAUAUGUGCUGUCAGGAAUCUGGAUCAGUUCGGUUGCCUACUGUUCUAGACAAAUAUAACUAUAGAAUUUGGAAAAGUGUUCUAUAGAAGAGUUGUAGACAAUUUUCUAAGCUUUCCAACGGUGUAAUCUAGAACUUAUUUGGAUAAGUAGAACCUGAGAUAUGACAGAUGCAAUUGGAUGUUUCUGUUCUAUUUCAAAGUCUGGACAGUCCUAGUAUUUCCUAAUUUCAGCCAAAUUAACUUCAUAAUCUGGGAAAAAGUUGUAUACAAAAGUUUCAGAGGAUUUAAUAAGCUUUUCAACAUUGUAAGGAUCGUCAUUAUAUGGUUUCUAUGGCUCAUGAUAUGACUGUUUCAAGAUGCUGUGUCUGUGUUGUCAGACUUCCUGGACAGAUUUUAUGUUGGAUUAUCAAACCUUAUUUUAACGCCCGAAUAUGGGGAAGUGAUCAACAAGAAAGUUGUGGAGAAUUUGAUAAGCUUUCCAUCAGUGUAGACCAUCACUCUAUCAGGUUGACGGAACAUUAGUUGUAGCUGGUUUACUAAGUUGCUGUUUUUCAUCUUGCGAGGAAUUUCUGAUUUCUUGUUCUUGUCUAUGUAUAUGAGUUCUCUUGGAUAUAAGAAGCUCUUUUAUGGUAGUUAACCUACUCAUAAGAAUGUUCAAGCCAUCCUUGGUAUCCCCUAGCUGAUCUCAUCUUAAGGGGGGUAGCCAAGCUAUAGAAGUUGCAAGACAAAGGUUUUAUGUGUUCAAGUAUUUUAUUUGGAAGAUCUGUUAUUCCUUUGGUGGACAACUCCCUAUCAACCACAAAUAUCUUUGCUCAAGAGUGGUUACUCUUUGCACCAAUGAGUUCAGGUAUUCGUCAAGAUUGGUCUCCACAUUGAGCUAUUAUCAAAUGGAGGUUCAACUUCCAACAUGCCCAAGACAAGAUGACAUUAAUGAUAUUGGAAAGAGAUAUCGAACAUCUACGGAUGAUUCUUCAGAGAGUUAUGAAACCUUAUUAUUUCACCAUGCAUGGCUAGUAAGUUUUGAGUGAACUAAGUUCUCUAAAUUGAAUAUGUUGUCUCUAGUGGUGGGAUUAUGGAGAAGUAUAUGUCGAUGCCAAAGCUCUUAUCAUAAAGAGUGUGCUAGGAAAAGUUUGGACAACACCUAGAUUUGAGGAUUUGUGUGCGGAGGUUGAGUGAUAUUACUAACACUACAAAUUUGGAAAUUAAUAGGGCUCACUUUGGAAGAAGGAGAAGGAUGAUUGUGAAAUGGGACGAUGAAAGUAAUAAGGAGAAAGUUGAGUAUAUCAUGGUUGGAAAUGCAUCAGGUUUUAAAUGGAUGGGCAAGGAACAUAUACCCCAGAUAAGCUAUGAGUAAAAAAAAAACCUUAUCUAUACGAAUUACAUUGCUGAACUCUUGGAAACCAUUGAUGGAGAUGUUUGGAGUGACAAAGGCCAUAGAAUGGUUACUAAGAAAGAGCUACUCAAGGAAGUGAACAAGGUUCAAAAGCGGAGUAUCUACAUCUCUUUGAUCACCAUCUUCCGAAUCUCGAGGACGAGAUUCAUCUUAAGGGGGUAGAUUUGUAACACCCUAAAAAUUGUUUUCUGGGAAAUAGAGCUAAAAUGAUUUAAUUAUGAAUUUUUGUGCUCAUGAAACAUAGGAAAAUAAUAUUUUUCAUUAAACUAAAAUUUAUCAUAGGACGUAGAAAACAUGCUUGAGCAUGCAUGCCUUUGCAUUCUAUUUAUUGUGAUGAGUAUAUUUGAACUCAAAAUUUUAAAAUAAUUCAAAAUGUUUUGAAAUGAUGUGAAAAUAGCUUUGGAAUAAUAAGAAAACAAAAGAAAAGAAAAGGAAAAAAAAACCCCGGCCGAACUCCCCCAUUCUUCUCCCUCGCCCGGCCCAAUUCCUCCGCCCCAGCCCAACGCGCUGCGCGGCCCAGCAGUCAGGCUACCAGGCGCGAUUUUCCUUCCCCUCUUCUUGACCCGCUGACAGUCGGGUCCCACCCUUCUUUCUAUGACAAGUGGGGCCUGCGGGACAGCGCUCGUCCCCUACCUCUGUUCGUAGUCGACCCGGACUCACGAACCGGCCGACUCAAUCCCGGGAACCGCGGGAUUCUCUUGCCUUUUGUGCAAAUCAAACCCCUAUAAAGCCCUAGGUAAACCCCGCGGCUCCCUCUUUGCAUCCAAGUUGUGAAACCGAGCCCUAGUCGCCGUAUUCUCUGGAGUUCGGAUCUCGGCGUGGCCGAUCUUGUUCCUCUCCGCGGCAAGCCCUCUCCGUUCUCUCUCGGACCCAACCAAGCGCUUAGACGAGAUCGUGGUGAGCUCCUCUUCAUCCCGGUGUUUUUCUUUCUUGAAACGGUGCUCGGAAACGAGAAGCCAGCGGACGCCGGCGAGCUUCCGGGCGGUGGCCAUGGCGCCACCGAACCGGUGCCCAACUCCGGCCGGAUGUGGGUGACUAGGAAGGCGCCCAGGCUACCAACCGUUCAACCGAAGAUCAACGGCCAGGAUUAAAACAUACCCUUUCGCUGC
rnacentral:lncRNA from 1 species